GACGAACGCUGGCGGCGUGCUUAACACAUGCGAGUCGAACGAUGAACCCGGAGCUUGCUCUGGGGGAUUAGUGGCGAACGGGUGAGUAACACGUGAGUAACCUGCCCUGGACUCUGGGAUAAGCGUUGGAAACGACGUCUAAUACCGGAUAGGACCUUGGAUCGCAUGAUCUGGGGUGGAAAGUUUUUUCGGUCUGGGAUGGACUCGCGGCCUAUCAGCUUGUUGGUGAGGUAAUGGCUCACCAAGGCGUCGACGGGUAGCCGGCCUGAGACGGUGACCGGCCACACUGGGACUGAGACACGGCCCAGACGCCUACGGGAGGCAGCAGUGGGGAAUAUUGCACAAUGGGCGAAAGCCUGAUGCAGCAACGCCGCGUGCGGGAUGACGGCCUUCGGGUUGUAAACCGCUUUUAGUAGGGAAGAAGGGCUUCGGCUUGACGGUACCUGCAGAAAAAGGACCGGCUAACUACGUG
rnacentral:rRNA from 1 species